rnacentral:lncRNA from 1 species
GUCCCCGGCGUCCGGGCGCCCUGCAUGGAUCCCCCACCCCAGCUCCUGCUCCCCGGCGGCGGCCGGUGGGCAGAAAGACCGAAACCCACUCACGGCCGCCUGCCGAAUCGCGGCUCUGCUGUUUGUGGGGCGUGCUAGAAACGUGGUCCUAAAAAGAAUGGCGUCCAUUUACAUAAUGCUUUGUUUGCGUUUCGCAAGUUUCUUUCGGUUAAAGCCACAGAAACCCCACCUCCUGCCCUUGUGUCGUUUCCACCGCGGCACCCUUUUCCGACAUUAGAAACAAUAGUGUACGCCUGUGGAGGCCUCGUUUGUUCAGGGGCUGCCGGCCAGGGCUUCAGGACGUUUCUGCGGCUUUCCCCGCGCGGCCUGGGCUCCCGCGGCUGCUUUUCGGGCCCAUGGGCGCAGCCACUGCGCCAGGCUCAAGGGGGGCGGCCCCGUCAGGGCCCGCCAUCUUGGAAGGCCUUUUUUGCCGGUUCUUCCCGCUGAGGAAGUGUCGCUCAAGACGCUGGCCUAUGAGUUGUGAUUUCUGCCUUUUCCCCUUCCUCCUUGGGCUAAGCCAGACCAGAAAGGGCCCCGUGCGCAACGUGCUUCACAAUCUCUCAGGGAAAGCGGCUAACGUGGCGCUACUCCGCCUCCCCUGUUCCUUACCCUUGGGGCGGCCGCCAUGUUUCCUGAACACAAAAUGGCGACACGUGGUUAGCAUUCGUCGCCAACGAGAAAUUGGGGUCGGCCCGAAAGCUCUAGAAUGCACCCCUCUUCCUCCCCGGGGCCUUCCACCUCCGCGAGUUUUAUGACUUAAAAAAGCCCACAGGCUGGUCUGAAGGUCGGAGGCCUAAUUUUAACGCGUUUUCCUCCCUUUAAUUUGAAACGGGAACGCGAAUGACUGUAAAAUGUGGGCACAAUAUUUAAUCUCUCGCCUUUUUAAAGCUUAAUAGUGGAUAAUAGGGGGGCAGUAUCAAGGGAUAAUUUGGGUCCCCACAGUACCAAAGCAUUUAGAAACCUCUGUUUAAUUUAAGGAAUGAGAUAAGUUACUGCUUUUCUAGACUUCCUAGCAUGGGCUGUUGUGCUGGAGAGAACGAGAGCUACGAAGAGACUACAGUGCCUCUGACUUUUUCAUAGGACAGUUGGCCGAGGAAGACAAACAUAAAGAUGAAGUGCUUAAUUCAAGGUCACACAAUGUCGGGGAUGGACCUCCAGAUUUCCUUACUGACCUGCAUUAUCUUGUGGAUACCUGAGUGAAUUCCACACCACCCAUUUUAUAGAUGAAACCACUGAGACAUGGAGCAAUUGACUGAGUAGUCACUGCCCCACCCCUGCCUGGAGCCUCACACAUGACUCGCCUCCUCUCAGUGACCACAGGUGAGACGUGGUCUUGUAACACAGUGGUUAAGAAUGUGACUUUGGAGCCAGCCUGCUAGGGGCUGAAUUCUGACUCAGCCAUUUACUAACUGUGUGACCUUAGGGAGGAGGACCUGGUUGAUAGAAGAAUUUAUCUCGUAGUCUUAACAUCCACUGUAAUUCCAAACUUUGAGGACGAUAGAGAUCAGUGGGCUUUGACUGCCCAGCAUGCAGUCUCCAUUCUUAGGUGGGUUCCCAAGCCUGUAAAAUGUAAGCCUUAUGCUGCUGAGGGCCAUCUUGCCACCCUGAGGGAAACGCUGCCUGAGAAUGAAACAAGCAUAAGUAAAAGCUGAGCUGUGAGAUGGAGCAAGAUGAAGGCCACAUGACAUCUUUGGAGCACCUGGAUCUAACUGUGCCUUAAGCUAGUCUAACCCUGAACAUUUCAUCAUUUCAUUGACAUGAGCCCAGGUUUUCUUUUUUUUUGGAUGGAGUCUUGCUCUGUCGCCCAGGCUGGAGUGCAGUAGCUCAAUCUCGGCUCACUGCAAGCUCCACCUCCCGGGUUCACGCCAUUCUCCUGCCUUAGCCUCCCAAGUAGCUGGGACAACAGGCGCCCACCACCACUCCCAGCUAAUUUUUUGUAUUUUUAGUAGAGACGGGGUUUUACCAUGUUAGCCGGGAUGGUCUUGAUCUCCUGACCUCAUGAUCCGCCCGCCUCGGCCUCCCAAAGUGCUGGGAUUACAGGUGUGAGCCACUGCACCCAGCCCUCAGGUUUUCCCUUUUUUUACCCCUCCUUUUGAAAAUUUGAUGUGGAAUUUUGCCACCUGCAGCCAGAAGAGUUUUAACUAAUCAGUGCCAUAAAUUUUAUAUAGUUCUCCUUGCAAAAUGUGGAUCAGCCUUUCUCAGCAAAUCCUUUGUCAUAAAGUGCUGAAUUGUAAGUUUGUCAUGAGAAUCACAUGAGAUCAUGCAUGUGAAGAACCUGGCAUUAUCCUCCUCAUAGAAAAAAACCAGUAAAUAUUAACUACAGGAAGCAAGGAAGGAGUGGGGUGAGGGGAAGAAGAAGGGGUACUGAUUUAAAAGAACCCUGGAGUCCUAAGGAUAAUCUAGGAACCCUCAGACCCAAUCCGAUACCCCUAUUCUAAAUGCUCCUAGUGCCCUGUACCUUCCCCUCAUAAGCCUUCAUUAUCAUUGUAAUGAUAUGUUUAUGUAAUAUUUUGAUUAAUGUCUCUCCUUCACUGACCUAGCAGUUCUAGCAGGGCAGUGAUUUUGCUGUGUUGCAUCCCCAGCACCUAGUCUGGUAUGUGGCAUUCAGCAUAUGUUUAUUGAAUGAAUGGCCAUGUGGUUAUUCAGAUCCUCCUUGAUUAUUGGGGUUAGGAUUGUGGCAGAAGUGGCAAAAUCAGGGAGAGUAGUCCCUGUCCCCUCUGUAUCUUAUACACUGCCCACACUCCCAACACACAUACACAUACAGAGAAUUUUGUCUCAAUUAGAUAAUUAACUUCUGCUUGGUUGUAAACCAAACCACUGGUUCUUAAACUUUCAUUGGAUCAUUUUAUUGAAGAAUUAAAUAGUGUGGUUCUGGCCUAAUGUCUGGAAAGCCUUGCAGAGGAGUGGAUUAGGUCUUUGUGAUAAACAGGCAGCCUUCCCUGCUCCUGUGUCUUUAUAAAAUCUAUUUAACUGGAGUAGUCCACCCUCCCUCAGGCUCUUACAGGAAUAUGUUGGAGGCUGUAGGAAGGUGGGAAACCGAGAGGGAAAGGACUGGGCCGCUGGAGACUUCACUCAUUCCCUAGCAAGAAACAAAAGCAGUAAAAGGUGGCCCGAGGACAACCUGAAGCUCACUCCUUCAGCACUUUUGGCUGGAGGUCACUUGUUGGAGCCCCACUCAGAGCUCAGCACACCACCCCACCAGCAGCCUCCUCCUCCCAGCUGAGGCUGCAUUUCAUCCCUUCCCCCAGCCUGCUUUCCCUGAGAUAGGGGAGUGUUUCCCAGGGCCCAUGUGACUUCCACUGGCAAGUGACGAUUACCAAUGGUUUACUAGUCAGUGAAACUACCAAAGGCUUUUGUGCUGUAGUAAUCCUUUUCCUGUUUAAAACUCUGGGGAUUUUCUAAUGUUGCCAAUAGUUUUUCAAGUCAGCAAUUACUGUGUGGAUUAUGUAAUGGCUCGGUAUUAAAAAUAGAAAAGACUGGA